AGCAGGAGACGAGAUUCGAACUCGCGGCUUCCGACGUGGAAGGACGGCACUCUACCAAUUGAGUUACACCUGC
rnacentral:tRNA from 1 species